rnacentral:rRNA from 1 species
UACGGAGGGUGCAAGCGUUAUCCGGAUUUACUGGGUUUAAAGGGUGCGUAGGCGGGUUGUUAAGUCAGUGGUGAAAAAUUUGAGCUCAACUCAAAAACUGCCAUUGAUACUGACGAUCUUGAAUAUAGUUGAGGUGGGCGGAAUGUGUCAUGUAGCGGUGAAAUGCUUAGAUAUGACACAGAACACCGAUUGCGAAGGCAGCUUGCUAAACUAUUAUUGACGCUGAGGCACGAAAGCGUGGGGAGCAAACAGG